GACGUAGGGCGCGAGCGUUGUCCGGAUUUAUUGGGCGUAAAGAGCUCGUAGGCGGUCUGUUGCGUCCGCUGUGAAAACCCAGGGCUUAACCCUGGGCUGGCAGUGGAUACGGACAGACUAGAGGUAGGUAGGGGAGAAUGGAAUUCCCGGUGUAGCGGUGAAAUGCGCAGAUAUCGGGAGGAACACCGGUGGCGAAGGCGGUUCUCUGGGCCUUACCUGACGCUGAGGAGCGAAAGCGUGGGGAGCGAACAGG
rnacentral:rRNA from 1 species